rnacentral:tRNA from 1 species
UCAGAGGUGGUCUAAUGGUAGGAUUUCCGAGUUCCAAAACGGGAGAUCCAGGUUCAAUUCCUGGCCUCUGAC